ensembl:lncRNA
CAGCGGGGCUGACGCGCUCUGGCCCCUCUUUUUGUCCCGCAGAAGUCGCUCAGCAGUCCAGGGCUCCUCCCCGCCCAGCCCUUCAGUGUCCGGCUCAGGCCGUGUGGCUUUUACCGUGAAUAACGGUACCGGGAAGGGAUCCCUGGACGGGGUAUUCACUGAGAGGCUGCCCGCUGUGCGCCGGGGCGAGGCCGCGGAGACCGGGUGAGGCCGCAGCCCCUGGGUCGCUCGGCCGCAGCUAGGAUGUGGCGAGGCCUGAGCGCUCAGUCGAAGGUGGGUUUCUAGCUGCACCAAAGUCUGGAAAACCCGCCGGAGGGCCGGGGAAGCCUUUUCUGACAGUAGGAACUGUGUCAGACACGCAUGAUUCUUCCGGGCCAGCAGUAUUCUUAACCUGGCUGGUGGUUACUUAAUUUCUGUAAUUUCUUUAAAAAUUCUGUAAUUUUUCUUAGUGCGUGACAUUGUGAUUUAUCCACCUUUGUGCUUGUAGGCUAUACUUCUUAGCAAGAAGUAUGCAAAAAAAAUUUUAAGCACAAAUUUAUUACACCAUUGUUCUUGAAUCCAGUAUUACUGUUGAGGAGUCUCAUGUUGGUCUAAUUUUUGUUCCUUUGGGAUGGUUUACUUUUUUGUGUGGAAUCUUUUCAUAGUUUUUCUUUGCUUUUCUGCAGUUUUACUGUAGUGUGUCUAAGUAUUAGUAUUUUCUUAAGUGUCCUGGUACCCUAUGGCCCCUCAGUUCCCCAUGGGGAUUUCUCUUAUCUGGAUUUUGAUAAUUCUAUUCUCCCAACCUUUUAGCAUAUCAUGUAUCACUUGUUUUCUAAAAUAAUUUCUUGUCAUUUUGUUACCUUUUUCUUCUUCAACUCUUUUGAAUACAUGUUAUACUCAUUUAAAAUAUAUUGGCUCAUCCAUUUCAAUAAAUCUACUUAGGGUGGCAUGUGCUGUUCACAUUUAUUUAUUUUAUUCUAUUCUAUUUUAUUUUAUCUUUUUCAGUUGCAUCAGUGGCAUAUGGCAGUUCUCAGGCCAAGGAUUGAAUGUGAGCCACAGCUGUGGCAACACCAGGUCAUUAGUCCACUGCACCACACUCCUGCUUUAAUUCAUUUUAACUUUCUCUUUGAGGAGUAUUUUCCUGGAACCUCAGGAUCACAUUUCACUGGGGAGUCAGUUCUCUUGCCCUGCACUGUGUACUGAGGAAGUUCUGAAAGUCACAGUUGUCAUCUCACUUAUAACAGCCAGUUCCUUCCAGUGUCUGUCACUUCUCAGGGUUGAUUGGAUGACCUUGAGCUACUUUACCAUUUUAUCCUACUUGCCAAGAAUCCUGAUUACAUUAAUAAAAGUAGCCUUUUGUCAUAUAGGAUGUAAAUUGGUUAGUCAUUUUUCUUCUGACCUGUCUGUGACAAUUUUUUGCUGGGGAGAAACUAAUAAAAUGUGUUUCAAUAGGGAGCUAGUUGUUACACAGAUGAACUAAAGGUGGCCCCUACAAAAUUGCAUCUUCUUUUCUUCCUCACAGCAGGCAGGACCCAAUAACUCAAAAACCUGAUUGGCUCCCAAAUCCAGUUGUUUGAAAUUCAGCUCCAAAGAUCAGAUGUUUAGCCAGCUGAGUCCCCCUGCUUUCCUGCCCAGGGAAACCUCACCCAAAACCUGCUAGCCACGGGGAAGACCGACCCUGCACUGUAAAAGCCCCUAAGCCACCGCAGCUCUUCAUCAUUCUCUGCCCCCGGGGUCUCCCCCCCAGACUCUCUCUCUCCCUGCCUUUGGAAGGUGGAGGUGUCAGGGCUGCCUUUCCACCCCUGCACGUCUGUGUGGGCCCUCCCAAUGACACUGCUUGUGCGCUAAUGCCACCUGGUGGCCACAUCUGCUAGUUUGGUACAAAGGCCGUUAUUUUGCUGCCGUUUUAAUUUUUUUUGGCCAGGUUGUGCGGAAGUUCCCAGGCAAGGCAUCAAACCCUUGUCACAGCAAUGACAAUGCCAGAUCCUUAAUCAACUGAGCCAUCAGGGAGCUCCUGCUGCUAUUUUAAAAACUGAUUCAAAUCCGUGUGUAGAAAUGUAGACAUGUUAGGUAAAAAAAGGGAGUGUUAAGACAGUUUGCAUAGUAAGUCCCACUUAGAACAAAAGGAGGAAAGAAGACAGCAUGGAAAAUAGCAGGAAGGAUAAAUGGUUAAUUUAACAGCAUUGAGGUGGGGAGCAGGAGGGAAAUAACUCACUCUGUUUUUAAGCUGAAUUUGAUGAUUAAAGUGGUCAAAGACUGUGGUGUCACUAGAGAUGUGUUAAUGCAAGCAAAGGCAUAAAGGCUGGUGACCAAGCUCGAGGUGUAAGUGUGCAAGUCCUAGACUGUAACAAUUCAGAAUGUGACUUAAUUGGGAAACAGGAUCCUUGCAGAUGUAACUAGUUUAGAUGAGGUCAUUACUGGGGAAGGUUAGGCCCCUAAUCCAGGAGUACUAGUGCCCUGAUGAAAAGAAGAAAUAUGAAAAGAAUGAAAUAAUGGCAUUUGCCAGUAACAUGGACGCAUCUAGAAAUUCUCACACUAAGUGAAGUAAGUUUGCGAGAGACAAAUACCAUAUGAUAUCACAUAUAUGUGGAAUCUAAAAUAUGGCACAGGAGUUCCCAUCGUGGCUCAGUGGUUAACGAACCCGAGUAGUAACCAUGAGGUUGCAGGUUCAAUCCCCUGCCUUGCUCAGUGGGUUAAGGAUCUGGCGUUGCCGUGAGCUGUGGUGUAGGUCGCAGACAUGGCUCGGAUCCUGAGUUGCUGUGGCUGUGGCGUAGGCCGGCGGCUGCAGCUCUGAUUCAACCCCUAGCCUGGGAACCUCUGUGUGCUACAGGUGUAGCCCUAAAAACACACACAAAAA